UAGGGAAUCUUCCACAAUGGGCGAAAGCCUGAUGGAGCAACGCCGCGUGUGUGAUGAAGGCUUUCGGGUCGUAAGGCACUGUUGUAUGGGAAGAACAGCUAGAAUAGGAAAUGAUUUUAGUUUGACGGUACCAUACCAGAAAGGGACGGCUAAAUACGUGCCUG
rnacentral:rRNA from 1 species